ACCCGAAAUAGUAAAAUGGUUUUCGGAUGAUAACUCAAGAACGCAUACGCUUAGGAUCAUGAAACUUCAUAGUUAGAUUGAUCAUGACUCGCAGAUGACCCCUAUUGAUUUUGAGGUCACUAGGUCAAAGGUCAAGGUCACGGUGACCCGAAAUAGUAAAAUGGUUUCCGGAUGAUAACUCAAGAACGCAUACGCCUAGGAUCAUGAAACUUCAUGGGUAGAUUGAUCAUGACUCGCAGAUGACCCCUAUCAAUUUUGAGGUCACUAGGUCAAAGGUCAAGGUCACGGUGACCCGAAAUAGUAAAAUGGUUUCCGGAUGAUAACUGAAGAACGCAUACGCCUAGGAUCAUGAAACUUCAUAGGUAGAUUGAUCAUGACUUGCAGAUGACCCCUAUUGUUUUUGAGGUCACUAGGUCAAAGGUCAAGGUCACGGUGACCUGAAAUAGUAAAAUGGUUUUUGGAUGAUAACUCAAGAACGCUUUUGCCUAGGAUCAUGAAACUUCAUAGGUAGAUUGAUCAUGACUCGCAGAUGACCCCUAUUGAUUUUGAGGUCACUAGGUCAAAGGUCAAGGUCACAGUGACAAAAAUCGUGCUCACACAAUGGCUGCCACUACAAUGGACAGCCCAUAUGGGGGGCAUGCAUGUUUUACAAACAGCCCUUGUUUUAUAAUUAUUUUACAGAAGUAUAGUUUAACGAAUUUCGUCUAAUAUUUUUGUUUAAUUAUUUUGUUUCUACUUAAAAUACUCACUAGUCUUAAAUGAACUUGUAACUUAUUAUGACAUUUUGUACAAUUUUUUAUCUCUAGACAAAAAUACAUUGUAUGUUUGUGUACUUUUAACUAGACAAAUACUUGUUUAACAAAAAGUUACACACACACACAAAAAAGACAAGUAAGAGAAGGUAAACCAACAUGCUGCAAUAUUUAAUGUCUUAUUAAGCUCUAUUUUCUGUAAGUGAAAUUAGUUCCCGUCUAUUAACCCAGGAACUUGCAUAAACCCCUCAAAUGUGUCUUUAAUAGCAGUGAAAACUGUUGCAUGCUGACAGUCAGGGUAGCAUUUUGACAGUUUAAUUGCCCAAUUGCCAACAUCUUCCCAUAUUUUCAAAACACAGAGAUUUUGGUCAUUUUUCUUAGAGAAAUCUAAACAGAUUUAUGGCCGAGGCUACAGUUGUUUUGAUAUUUUUGGCAAAUGGCUAAGUAGAAAAACAGUUUUCAUAACAUAGAUUGAGGAAGGCAAACAAUUUCUGUGCAGUCACUUCCGUGGAGGAAAGCCCAUUAAUUUAAAAUACUGCGUGGAACAUUGCUAUAAGCAUUUCAAAACAUAUUUAAGGCGGUAAAGGCAGGCGCUAAUUGAUGUUUCAGGUAGAUAAGCAUAAUUGAUAUCCAGUUGUUCUGAAAACAUGUUUAUGGGAAAUUCUUUUCUCUCAAAACAUUUCUUACAUGUUUUUUUUCCUGUUGGCAUUUGGAAAGAAGAAAUUAAAGAACUAUAAUUGCUUUGUUUAAAUGAAGGAAUUAAGUUAUUUUAAAUUUAAUUUGAAGUUUAAUUUAUGGAAAGUACAAUAAAAUCUGAGAGGACGUUCAAUGAUUGCACUAUGUUCUUUUAUAUAGACACAUGGAGUCUUAUUUAGAGCUACAAAUUUAAUAUAAACAGUUGUUAAUAUUACUCAUUAUAAUCAUUAUAUUACAUCAAUAUGAUUUAAGUUACUGACACAUAAUGAUAAUGUAUAAUAUAUGUUAUUAAAAUAGAAACAAAAGUGCAAUAAGCCUUCACAGGUAUUAACUUAAUAAGUUGUAUUAAGGAUAGUAGCACAACAUAAUAGGUGUUGCUCGAAAUAUGACAGUAUCUUAAAAUUAUGCUACUUGAUUUGUGUGCAAGGAAAAUUACAAUAUAUUGUCUGCAAAGUCAACCCAUGGCCAUGGUCAAAUCUGUGGAUACGAUUCUGCUUGUUACAAACUAUUUUCAACAUGAAAUGUGUAAUCUUUGGUGCAAAAGUUGGCAAACAGUGUCUGGAUUUGUGAGUAAUGUUUACCCAUCACUUACUAUUGACACUAAUUUUAACUUGAUUUUAAAGGUAAAUGCAUUUUUGUUGGUUGAGAUUAUAGUUUCAAUGUUUACUUGAAUAAAUAAACGAUUAUUGGCCACUUUUCAUCAUAUUUUUUUUUAUUGCGUAUG